ACUCAGCACGUAGAGCAAAGGAGCAAGGUUGCAGUUUAGCAGCAACAAGCACAGGGCGCCUGGAAGGGAGCCGCCGUAGUAAUCGUAGUAAGCAGAGCAUGGAGCUCACAGCUAUGACUCUGAGGCUGUGAGUGAGCGUUGCAUCCUAUUGGCUCAGAGCUGCACCUACCAGCUCUCCCAGCCUCGUUUGUGCUGGGGCCACGGGCUGCCUGAUUUGUUUGCUCUUCUCCCCAUUCAUUGGCCUGCGUGCAUUCCCUGCAGCUGGAGUGGUUGUGGCGCGAAAACAGCCCCCUUUCCUCUCUCGGGUGUUUUUGUUUCUUUCCCCUGAUUGUUCUGUUGGGCCCCUAAAAAAAGGAAACAAAGUGUUACUGGGUAGGAUGAAGCGAUACAAUGUGUAGUUCUUCCUGCGAUUCGUUCACCCUCUAAUGGCUGAUGGAGGGUUCUGCUGGGGCUGGUGCUUUGUAAACGUGAAAAGACCAGAGAAAAAAGGAGAAGCAGAAAAGCUCACCAAGACAAAAAGCCCACAAUGGGGAACAGCUGCUCUUUCACAACUUGAAGCUUCUUGGUAUAAUUUCUCCUUAUGUCCUGCAAACAAACAAGUAAUUUUAUGCACAGAAGUCCCAGUGAAGUCAAUGGGACUACACGUGAGUCAUAUGUAUUUACAGGACUGAGCCACUGGAUUACUAGAAGGGAUUCCUGGCUUUUAUUUACCUGCAAAGCAUGAUGCGCACCUGUGUAAAGAACAAGUGAGCACUCUACGAUCGCCUGCAAAGUGAUCCUCCCUUUUUCAAUUUGUUCAGUGGGAGACAAAGGGCACCUACCCAUAGAUCACCACUCCGUUCCUCACCGGGCUAUCAAAAAGACUUAAUAUACUGGACAGUACUAUAGCACACAUCCAUACAUCUCAGUUCUUUAACAAAGGAAUUAUCCCUGUUUACAGAUGGAGUAAUUUAACUGCUCUGGGCUUCAAGGAUUUACCCAACAUUACCCAGGGCAGGGUUACAAACAACCAUUUUGAAUUAGGAGUACAUAGAGUCCUGGAGAUUGCUUGCUAGGCAUUGUUCCUGCCCUGAAGAACUCAUCAUUAAUACAGGUAAAAGGUGGGAG